CAAACGCGAAAAGUGUUAUGACAUGCAGUCUUUGUGAAGCAACGAAUUUUUGAACGCACCUUGCACCGCGUACCCAACCUCUGGGGACCGGUAUACUUGUUUGAGCAUCACGCAAGCACUCGGUCACCUGAACUGGUCAUCGGAGCUGGGGAACCACUGCUAGCACAAUGGCGGGUGGUGCCCUGAAAGGCAUUGCGGGGACUGGACACACGGCGUACGUGUGCAUGAGCGUCGGGAUAAACUGUCGACGCUUGCGCGCGCACACGCGUGUCCACCACGCUUUUACUCAUUCAUUCAUUCACUGAUCUCAAAUCAAGCAAGAAGACCCGCUGAACUUAA
rnacentral:misc_RNA from 1 species